rnacentral:misc_RNA from 1 species
UCUCCGUUGGUGAACCAGCGGAGGGAUCAUUACUGAGUUUACGCUCUAUAACCCUUUGUGAACAUACCUAUAACUGUUGCUUCGGCGGGUAGGGUCUCCGCGACCCUCCCGGCCUCCCGCCUCCGGGCGGGUCGGCGCCCGCCGGAGGACCAAACCAAACUCUUGUAUUCUAAAGAAUCUUCUGAGUAACCAUAAGUAAUAAAUUAAAACUUUCAACAACGGAUCUCUUGGUUCUGGCAUCGAUGAAGAACGCAGC